GACAGAGGGUGCAAACGUUGUUCGGAAUUACUGGGCGUAAAGCGUGUGUAGGCGGUCCACUAAGUCGGGUGUGAAAGCCCUGGGCUCAACCCAGGAAGUGCACUCGAAACUGGCGGGCUAGAGUAUCGGAGAGGUUGGUGGAAUUCUCGGUGUAGAGGUGAAAUUCGUAGAUAUCGAGAGGAACACCGGUGGCGAAGGCGGCCAACUGGACGAAUACUGACGCUGAGACACGAAAGCGUGGGGAGCAAACAGG
rnacentral:rRNA from 2 species